CAAAGAAAAAGUAUUAAAAUAAAACAACUCACUAAACUGAACAUGCAACUCCAAGAAGGCAUACCUGCACUGAUAGAUGCUUCAGUAAAGAAGUAUGUUCAGAAACAUCUACCAAGUAAAGUCAGGCCUACAGAAACUUCACCAGAACAAGCAGCAAAUCAGUUGCAUCCAGUUGCCAACUCUGCAACACAUGCAGAGAUUUCAUGCAACAGGGAUAGUAAGAUAGAUGGCUUAUUGAAUCCAAUAGCCCAGCAAGAGGCAAGACAGGCCAGUGACUAUAAAAAAAUGACAAGAAAUCUGAUGGGGGCAAUGUUCUCAAAAGAAC